UGAAGAUAUUAGUGUCUUGUAUGAAAGUUCACCAAAGGGCAUUCAUGGUAGACAAGGCUUCCAUGUGUCAUCUCGUGUAAGAAGAAUUGUAGGUGUUUUAACCACGUCCCCAGCUAGGGUCUCAUUGCCAGACGUGAGUGAGCCUUCUGAUGAUUAUAGCUCCCAGUCUUUGAGCCCUCCCAGCUGAUGCAGAAUGGGACAGAGAUGAGCUGUCCCCUCCAGCUCCUACCCUAAUGGCAGACUUGUGAGUCAGAUAAAUAAUGUUCCAAGCUACUAAGUUUUGGAGUGGUUUGCUAUGUAGUAGUGGGUGACCUGAACACUUGGCUACUUGCCAUUGCGAUUGCCAAAUCUGCCAUUCCCUGAUAUGGUGUAUUUCCUGAGGUUACAAGCCAGCCACUUGGUGACAGGUUAAUUACGUUGGACCCCUUCCAUCAUCAAAGGGAUGCCAGUUUUUCCUCACUGGAAUAGACAUGCAUUCUGGAUAUCUGGAUUUAUUAAUAUAAUAUUAAUACUUUCCCUGUCUAAUGCUUUUGCUAACACAAUCAUCCGUGAACCCAGAAACCUUUAUUCAUGGUAUUCCGUGUAACAUUGCUUCUGGCAUACACUAUCAGCCUGAGAAAAUGGAAUGAGCUAUUGAGGAGUCAGUUGUGGUGCCAGUUGGGAGACCUGAAAAGUUGAGGUUC
rnacentral:lncRNA from 10 species